rnacentral:rRNA from 1 species
CAGUGGCGAACGGGUGAGUAACACGUGGGCAAUCUGCCCUGCACUCUGGGACAAGCCCUGGAAACGGGGUCUAAUACCGGAUAACACCUUCUNCCGCAUGGGGGUUGGUUAAAAGCUCCGGCGGUGCAGGAUGAGCCCGCGGCCUAUCAGCUUGUUGGUGGGGUAAUGGCCUACCAAGGCGACGACGGGUAGCCGGCCUGAGAGGGCGACCGGCCACACUGGGACUGAGACACGGCCCAGACUCCUACGGGAGGCAGCAGUGGGGAAUAUUGCACAAUGGGCGAAAGCCUGAUGCAGCGACGCCGCGUGAGGGAUGACGGCCUUCGGGUUGUAAACCUCUUUCAGCAGGGAAGAAGCGCAAGUGACGGUACCUGCAGAAGAAGCACCGGCUAACUACGUGCCAGCAGCCGCGGUAAUACGUAGGGUGCGAGCGUUGUCCGGAAUUAUUGGGCGUAAAGAGCUCGUAGGCGGUCUGUCGCGUCGGAUGUGAAAGCCCGGGGCUUAACCCC